GCGUCAGGAGAGCACCCUUACGGAGC
rnacentral:piRNA from 1 species